AGUUUAUGAAGCUUGUGCAGUGCAGCGAAACGCCAAACUUUUGCAGGCGUUUGCUUUUGUGAAUGGAAGUCAAUGGGACGAGAAGUGGUAUCGACUGGAGAAUCUCUUCUCCACCAAACGCUACACGAUGAUUAUAGAGGAGAGAAGAAAUACCCCCGAAUCAACGCUGCAAACGAGCGAUUAAGCGAUGCGGCUACUAACAUGAGAACACAAAGCCAUGUGCGGUGAGUGUCUACUAGAGGCCACAACUCACGAUUCGGGGAUUUGAUGGAAGAAGAAGAGUCAGCCGCUUCUGUCUUGUGGUGUUUGAACUCUCAGUCUGGCGGCACCCAUUCACUGCAGAGGAUCCAUUGGAGGGCAAGUGAUAUAAUGCUAAAUUUCUACAAAUCUGUUGUGUUGAAGAGACAAGCUCAUCUACAAUCUGGACAGCUUGCAAGAGUGCGGAAGAAUAUGGCCUGAUAUGGAUCACCUCAGAUUUAAUAUCUGUGGCGAUUUGUCAUCGGCAUCUUCAUUUUUCAGAAGCAAGUGCACCUCUUAGAUCAACAACGGUGUUGGGAGCACAGAUGAGCACUCCGCAUACACAGGAAACGGACUGGGCGCGUAUGCAUGCGAUGACAUCAUGACACCCGCACGUCACGCAACUAAACUUUAGUGACGACUUGAAUCCAUUUUUUUUUUUUU